rnacentral:rRNA from 1 species
UACGUAGGGUGCAAGCGUUAUCCGGAAUUAUUGGGCGUAAAGAGCUCGUAGGCGGCUUGUCGCGUCGGAUGUGAAAGCCCGGGGCUUAACUCCGGGUCUGCAUUCGAUACGGGCAGGCUAGAGUUCGGUAGGGGAGACUGGAAUUCCUGGUGUAGCGGUGAAAUGCGCAGAUAUCAGGAGGAACACCGGUGGCGAAGGCGGCUUGCUGGGCCUUACCUGACGCUGAGGAGCGAAAGCGUGGGGAGCGAACAGG